rnacentral:lncRNA from 1 species
UAAUUCUCUUUUAAAUAUAAAAUUUUAGAAAGUACUCUUACAGUUCAGUGUUUUAGGUUAGGAAUUUGGGUAUUUUGACAAUUACAGCAGUGGCAUGAAAGUUUCAGUCCAGUUUAGUAUCCUUUUAAAGCAGUUAAGUAAUUGUUUUAAGAGAAACUGGAGUGUGCUAAUAGAAAAUAGUCAUUAACAUGGAUAAGAAGCAUGGAUAAUUUGAGUAAAAUAUUUUGUCUUUUUAUGUUUUGGAUUUAGAAAUUAAUUAAAAGUAAUUCUGUUUCUUUUCAUUCCCUUUAAGAAAAAAAAUGAAGUACAAAAACAACUAUCAUUUAUAGAUUUUACUUAAUUCAUUAUGCACACACUUGAAUAGUUAUAUAGUUCACAUUCUUCACUAAGACACCAAAGUAGGAAUACUGCUUCCCUAAAAGCAUACACACACACACAGCACUGAACAGACUCAGCAGGUUGCACUUACACGUUUAUUUGCAAUAAAUAAAUAAACAAACAAACAAAUAGUAAUAAAGAAAAAAAGGCCAAUGAGAGGGGCUGGGGGCUGAGGAUGAGGGGAUAAUAUAAUCAUAUUUAAUUAAAAAUGUAAAUAGUAAAAUAUUAUUUUGUUUCUGGAAAGAUGGCUCGUCAAUUAAAAGCACUUUUUCUUCUAAAGGACCUGGGCUUGGGUCCCAGAAUCCACAUGGAGGCUGACAACCAACUGUAACUCCAGUUAGUUCCGUGAUUCUGAUCUUCUGGUAGCAGACAUAUAUGUGUUACACAUGAAAACAUGAGACUAAACUUAAACACAUAAAAUAAAUUACUUUUAAAAAAUCAGUUAUUUUAAGUUGUAAAGAGUAAUAUGCUCUGCAGAUGGUUUCAGUGUGCCUACAAGGUAAUAAAACUGAGUCAUACUUACUGAAAAUUGCCUGGGUUUUGGACUGCAAUGACUUAGGUUCAAAUUCAACCUUUUGUCUUAAUAGUUACACAGCUUCAAACAAGUUUCUGUAAGUUUUUAAAACUUGUACUUCUUGUAUUGAGAUCAGUAAUACAUGGCAAACACAAAGAAAGAACUUAAAGUACUUUAGUAACCGUGGGGACUGUUACUGUUGAAGCAUGCUGUUAAUAUAAAGAAGAUACGUAAGAGUUGUAUUAAAAAUUAUAGCCUCAUAGAAAAAUACCUUCACACAUUGUUGCUAAGAGGAAAAACAGUUUGUAGCUUUAUUAUUGUUUUAAAUCAUCUCUAAUUAGAUAAAAUAAGGCUAGAGAUGGAAUAUCCUGAUUUGUAAAGUUGUUUUAAUAGGGAGUAAAAUAUAAAUGUACCGAAUUUUAAGAUCCUGAAACCAUCUAUAAAGAACCUGGCUUUUAAAAAUGUUCAAUAGGUUUCAGAUAUUAACUAUAGAGUUUGUCGUCCAUCAUUAAUUUGUUCUUUUUUUAAACAGUGAAGCCUUUUGUUUUGGUAUAAAACUAUAGUUCUAGGACUUGGAUAAGAUGAACAUAGGAAUCAUAAGGCAGCAGAUAAAGUCCAGAACCCUGUGUUCAGUUCUUAGCUCUGAAAAAUAAAAGUAAACAAAAAUUAAAUUC